rnacentral:rRNA from 1 species
GACGAACGCUGGCGGCGUGCUUAACACAUGCAAGUCGAACGAAGUGGCGAACGGGUGAGUAACGCGUAAUCAACCUGCCCUUCAGAGGGGGACAACAGUUGGAAACGACUGCUAAUACCGCAUACUGAAGGAGGGGAUUGCGUCUGAUUAGCUAGUUGGAGGGGUAACGGCCCACCAAGGCGAUGAUCAGUAGCGGGUCGUGGAGGAUGAACGGCGACAUUUGGACCUAGACAAGGCCCAGACCCCUACGGGAGGGAGCCGUGGGGAAGUGUCCGAAAUGGACGAAAGGCGUACGGAGCAACGCCGCGUGAGUGAUGACGGCCUUCGGGGUGUAAAGCUCUGUUAAUCGGGACGCGGUACCGGAAUAGAAAGCCACGGCUAACUACGUGCCAGCAGCCGCGGUAAUAC